AGAUUGAACGCUGGCGGCAGGCCUAACACAUGCAAGUCGAGCGGCAGCACGGGUACUUGUACCUGGUGGCGAGCGGCGGACGGGUGAGUAAUGCCUAGGAAUCUGCCUGAUAGUGGGGGAUAACGCUCGGAAACGGACGCUAAUACCGCAUACGGUCCUACGGGAGAAAGCAGGGGACCUUCGGGCCUUGCGCUAUCAGAUGAGCCUAGGUCGGAUUAGCUAGUUGGUGGGGUAACUGGCUCACCAAGGCGACGAUCCGUAACUGGUCUGAGAGGAUGAUCAGUCACACUGGAACUGGAGACGACGGUCCAGACUCCUACGGGAGGCAGCGAGUGGGAAUAUUGGGACAAUGGGCAAAGCCUAGGACUCGAGCCAUGCCGCGUGUAGUAGAAGAAGGUCUUCGGAAUUGUAAA
rnacentral:rRNA from 1 species